rnacentral:rRNA from 1 species
CAGUCGCCACGGUAACACGUAGGGUGCAAGCGUUAAUCGGAAUUACUGGGCGUAAAGCGUGCGCAGGCGGUUUGUUAAGACAGAUGUGAAAUCCCCGGGCUCAACCUGGGAACUGCAUUUGUGACUGGCAAGCUAGAGUAUGGCAGAGGGGGGUGGAAUUCCGCGUGUAGCAGUGAAAUGCGUAGAUAUGCGGAGGAACACCGAUGGCGAAGGCAGCCCCCUGGGCCAAUACUGACGCUCAUGCACGAAAGCGUGGGGAGCAAACAGGAUUAGAUACCCCAGUAGUCCCUGUCUCUUAUAC